rnacentral:rRNA from 1 species
GACGGAGGAUGCAAGCGUUAUCCGGAAUUAUUGGGCGUAAAGCGUCCGCAGGUGGCUGUUCAAGUCUGCUGUCAAAGCGCAGAGCUUAACUCUGUACAGGCGGUGGAAACUGAAGAGCUAGAGUAUGGUAGGGGUAGAGGGAAUUGCCGGUGUAGCGGUGAAAUGCGUAGAUAUCGGGAAGAACACCAGUGGCGAAAGCGCUCUACUGGGCUAUUACUGACACUGAGAGACGAAAGCUAGGGGAGCGAAUGGG